UACGAAGGGGGCUAGCGUUGUUCGGAAUUACUGGGCGUAAAGCGCGCGCAGGCGGUUCGAUAAGUUGGGGGUGAAAUCCCCGGGCUCAACCCGGGAAUGGCCUUCAAGACUGUCGAGCUAGAGGACGAGAGAGGUGAGUGGAAUUCCCAGUGUAGAGGUGAAAUUCGUAGAUAUUGGGAAGAACACCGGUGGCGAAGGCGGCUCACUGGCUCGUUUCUGACGCUGAGGCGCGAAAGCGUGGGGAGCAAACAGGAUUAGAAACCCUCGUAGUCC
rnacentral:rRNA from 1 species